rnacentral:rRNA from 1 species
CCGUGAUUCCCUUAGUAGCGGCGAGUGAACAGGGAGAAGCCCAUCGUGAAGAGGUACAUAUUAUGUAUCUCGGUGUGCGGUGUGUGUAGUCAUCCGCGUCGAUCGAUCAUUCGCACUAAUUGUGUUGGAAUACACAGCCAGAGAGGGUGAGAGCCCCGUGAGUGUGUUUGAAAUUCGAGAGACAUAAUGGUUGCUACAUCAGAGUAUAGUUGUUUGAAAUUGCAACUAGAAGGAUGGGGAUAUGUCUCCCCAAAGGCUAAAUAUUAAGGUGAAACCGAUAGUAAACAAGUACCGUGAGGGAAAGUUGAAAAGCACUCUGAAGAGAGAGUGAAAAGUAUGUGAAACCGAUGCGGGGGAAGGGAAUUGGUCGCUAGAAUACUUAAUGCCGCGAUAAAGGCGGUGACAAAGUAGUGCCUAUAGUAUUGUGAAAGCAGUGAUGGCGAAGAGGUAGAGCUGUUGUUUUUACUGUAUUGUAUUAACUCAGUCUAUCCUAGUAGUUAUCUCAAAUGAGACCGCAAUUUGAACGCUGCACAAAAGUACCGAUAUGAAUAGCAUUUAUAGUGGCCAUUCCUGCCCGUCUUGAAACACGGACCAAGGAGUGUGUUGUUGCGUGCAAGUCAAUUCAUGAACAUUUAGAUGAAUAUGGCGCAGUGAAAGCAAAGACCCUUCUGAAUAGUUGGUAGCUUCAGUAGUGAUGGUAUAGGUGCAGGUAUCCGCAACUACCAGUGGCAAUUUGCACAUAAUCUGUCAUCUGUUAGCACGUAACACACGACCCGAAAGAUGGUGAUCUAUGCUUGGGCAGAGUGAAGCCACGAGAAAUCAUGGUGGAAGCUCGCAGCGAUUCUGACGUGCAAAUCGAUCGCGUGACCUGAGUAUAGGGGCGAAAGACCAAUCGAACCAUCUAGUAGCUGGUUCCCUCCGAAGUUUCCCUCAGGAUAGCAAAGGUACAAUCAUAUUGAAAUAAUUUCAUCGGGUAAAGCGAAUGAUUAGAGGACUGGGGGAAUAUAAUUCCUUCACCUAUUCUCAAACUUUAAAUCGGUGAGACGUUCUUGUCAUUUAAUUAGACUUGAACUAAUGAAUGGGGCUUGCAGUCUUGAGCUGUAUAGCAACCAGUGAAUAUGAGUAUCUUUUGUGGGCCGUUUUUGGUAAGCAGAACCGGCGAUGUGGGAUGAACCAAAAGGCAAGUUAAGGCGCCUAACUGCUUGUUCAUGAGUUACCACAAAAUGUGUUGGUUGAUGGAGACAGCAGGACGGUGGCCAUGGAAGUCGGAAUCCGCUAAGGAGUGUGUAACAACUCACCUGCCGAAUCAACCAGCCAUGAAAAUGGAUGGCACUAGAACUCGCGGCCUAUACUUGUCCAUGAACUUAAAAAUUCGGACGUUAAGCGGUUGAUCUGCACCCUUCCGUGUCUGAGUGAUUCAGAUUUGUUUGCGACCUGAUCUAUUAAUUUAGUUCUAACCGCAUCUAAGUUGAAUAUAGUUCAUGAGUAGGAGGGAACAGCGGUCGCAGUAAAGCAUGCUUGUGAAAUCAUGUGUGUAGCGGCCGUUGGCUCAGAUCUUGGUGGUAGUAGCAAGUACUCAAUUAUGAACUUUGAGGACUGAAGCGGGAAAGGUUUCCAUGUGAACAGUGUUUGAACAUGGGUUAGUCGGUCCUGAAGAACAUGCUUAUGCAAAUUGAAUGUUCACGUUCUAUUGUUUCAUUAAUUUGUCUCAAUUAGACUGGACAAGUUCUGAAAGGGAAAUGGGUUAAUAUUCCCAUACUAUUUCUAUCUGUAUUUGAGAUGACGGCAACGUUGCGUGUUGAUUUAACUCGGUCGAUUGGGCACUGGGGAAGAGUUUUCUUUUCUUGUUAACCAGAUAACAGCUCCUUGGAAUUGGCUUUAUGCAGAGAUAAGGGCUUGUAGACUGGAAAGAGUACAACAGCAUUUGUUGUAUCCCACGCUGUCUGUUGAUCCCUUGAAAGUUAGAUCACACAAUAUACUAAUAGAAAUAACCGUACCUUAAACCGCAUCAGGUCCCCAAGGUGAGAAGCNNNNNNNNNNNNNNNNNNNNNNNNNNNNNNNNNNNNNNNNNNNNNNNNNNNNNNNNNNNNNNNNNNNNNNNNGGUCGGGUGUAUUAUGCUAGUUCUCUCGUCUUGUUUCAGUGUUGGAUUUACGGGCUUUAUUUUGUCGUGUCAAAACUUCAUUAUUUAGACGUUUAUCCUCGCCGUUCAAUUCGUUUGAUUAGCCUAACUGAUACGCAUUUAACGAUCAAAAUUAGAACUGGUUCGGACAAGGGGAAUCCGACUAGUUAAUUAAACUAAAGCAUUGUGAUGGCUGGUAUAUCCGGUGAUGACACAAUGUGAUUUCUGCCCAGUGCUCUGAAUGUCAAAGUGAAGAAAUUCAAUAAAGCGCGGGUAAACGGCGGGAGUAACUAUGACUCUCUUAAGGUAGCCAAAUGCCUCGUCAUCUAAUUAGUGACGCGCAUGAAUGGAUUAACGAGAUUCCUACUGUCCCUAUCUACCUUCCAGCGAAACCACAGCCAUGGGAACGGGCAUGGUGUAGUCAGCGGGGAAAGAAGACCCUGUUGAGCUUGACUCUAGUCAGAUUUUGUAAAGUGGCUCAAAAGGCGUAGAAUAGGUGGGAGAUUUGGAUGAAAUACUCCAUUUCGUCAGUGAAAUACCACUACUUUUGUUGUCGCUUUACUAAUCCAAUUGCAAUAUAAAUUUGAGUGUAACAACUUAAAGUUCUUUUAGAACAAGUCGGUGACCACGGCACUGGCAAAUAUAAUUGGAGACAGAAUCUGGUGGGGAGUUUGACUGGGGCGGUACAUCUGUUAAAAGAUAACGCAGGUGUCCCAAGGCUAACUCAUCGGGGACAGAAACCUCGAGUAGAGCAAAAGGGCAAAUGUUAGCUUGAUCUUGUUUUUCAGUGUGAAAACAGACCGUGAAAGCGGGGCCUAUCGAUCCUUUCGGUUUUAGAGACUUUAAACGAGAGGUGUCAGAAAAGUUACCACAGGGAUAACUGGCUUGUGGCAGCCAAGCGUUCAUAGCGACGUUGCUUUUUGAUCCUUCGAUGUCGGCUCUUCCUAUCAUUGCUCAGCAGAAUAAGCAAAGUGUCGGAUUGUUCACCCGCUAACAGGGAACGUGAGCUGGGUUUAGACCGUCGUGAGACAGGUUAGUUUUACCCUACUGACCAAAAUUAUAUAGUUGACAGUACUUUCACUUAGUACGAGAGGAACCGUGAAUGCAAGUCAAUGGCAUCUACGCCUGCUCGAGUGGCCGGG